GUGUCAGCAGCCGCGGUAACACGUAGGGGGCAAGCGUUGUUCGGAAUUACUGGGCGUAAAGGGCAUGUAGGCGGUUUAGUAAGCUUGGCGUGAAAGACCACGGCUUAACUGUGGAGUUGCGUUGAGAACUGCUGAACUUGAGUUACGGAGAGGGAGCUAGAAUUCCUGGUGUAGGGGUGGAAUCUGUAGAGAUCAGGAAGAAUACCGAUGGCGAAGGCAAGCGUCUGGCCGAUAACUGACGCUGAGGUGCGAAAGUGUGGGGAUCAAACAGGAUUAGAUACCCUGGUAGUCCACACUGUAAACGAUGUACCCUAGGUGCUGGUGCGGAUGCAUCAGGGCCGAAGCGAACGCGCUAAGUGUACCGCCUGGGGAGUAUGCUCGCAAGGGUGAAACUCAAAUGAAUUGACGG
rnacentral:rRNA from 1 species